rnacentral:misc_RNA from 1 species
AACGCACAUUGCGCCCGCCAGCAUUCUGGCGGGCAUGCCUGUUCGAGCGUCAUUUCAACCCUCAAACCCGCUUGGGUUUGGCGUUGGGGAUCGGCCCCGCAUUCGGCGGCCGGCCCCGAAAUAUAGUGGCGGUCCCGCCGUAGCUUCCUCUGUGUAGUAAACAUACCUCGCAGCUGGGAUGCGGCGCGGCCACGCCGUAAAAUGAUUUUUAAUCUUCCAAAGGUUGACCUCGGAUCAGGUAGGAAUACCCGCUGAACUUAA